GGACAGCUAGGAGAUGAGAUAAAAAGAGUAGAAAACCUGGGGUUAGGAGGUCUUACACAAGAUAUGUCUUAUACAAAACAAGUUUAUUAAGAAUCACAUGUACAAUUUGCAAGGGAGAAAUGGAACACAGUAAGAAGAAAGCUGUCAUACAAUGAGAUGAGGUUUGCAGGAAACUAAUCAGGCAACGUUGCACAAAGGUUACACAGGUUACCUCAAGACCAUCUAAUAACCAGAGUUAGGUUCUCAGGAUUUAGAGCCUCCAUUCUCCCAAAACUUUAACUCCAGUGCAGUAUUGGUUCUGCCAAGUAUAUUCCUGGUUUUAGAGAACAGUCUGUUCUUUUUCAGUACCCAGGGCCUCAGGGAAAGCCUAGUGCUCAAUAGCAUUAAAAAACAACUCCUCCCCCCUCCAAAAAAAAAAAAAAAAAAAAAGGUAUGACAAAGUUGAAACUAGGAAAACUAUAAGCUUUAUGACUUCUUGUGCAAUUCCUGUAUCGUUUGUCUCUAUUCUGUCUUUUCUCAUCACCUGAUUUUACCUCAUUUUGGUUUUCUUUCUAAGUGUUCUGCUCUACCCACACUCAAUUCUGUUUAUGUAUGUACAUAUAUACAUUACAGGUUUGGAUCUACAUAUAAGGGAAAACAUUUUUUUUUCUGAUGUGGGUGACCUUUCUUAAUACUAUAUAAGUCUGUCCAUUUUCUGUUAAUUUCAUGGUUUCAUUUUUUUUUCUUAUAGCUGAAUAACUAUUUUUUUAAGUGUCCAUCAUCCCUAUUUGCUAGGGAAAUGCUCUUAAAACUACCUUGAUAUACCACCUCUCCUGAGAAAGGAUGCUUAUCAUCAAGAACUUUGUCAACAAAUGUUAGAGAGGAUGCCACUCUUAUGCCACUAUUAUGGAAAUUAUUUGAGAGGUUCCUAAAAUAAUGAUAAAUAGAACUAUCAUGUGACCCAGCUAUUUCACUCUUGGGCGUAUAGUCAUAGAAUUCCAUAGCCUAGCAUAGAGAUAUUUGCACAUCCAUGUUUAUUGCUGUUUUAUUUAUGAUGGCAAUGAAAUGGAACCAGUCAUGGUGUUUGUCAACAGGUGAAUGGAUAAUGAAAAUAUGGAACAUAGAAAAUGGAGUAAUAAUCAGCUGUAAAACUUAAUUAAAAAAAGAUUAAGUUCACAGAUAUUUGUAAAUCCCUUUUUUUAUUAAAAUAAAAUUUAAAAAUCUUAACCAGAAAACUAAGAAUAUAGAUUCUAUAAUCUGUAUAUACAUCUUUUUAAAAAAUGUCCAGGGCACAUUUUCUUUAUAUACAUUUUUAUAUUUUAAAAUCUUUUCUCUGCUUGCUCUCAUGUUUGGUCAGGUCACAUUGCUCAGAGAAUGAUGUUAAUUAGCAUUUCUAGAUUUCUCUUAUCUGAAAGCCACUAAAACAUAAAAUCAUCUUUUAUCUGGUGCUCAGAAAACUGAGAGUCUACUGUCCAUUACUUUAUAGUAAAUAAAUUACUUCAAGCAUCGCAUAUUCCCUCUACUUUGUAACUAAUUUGGAAAUUUUAAAUUUUAUUUAUGAAUACGGGUGUUUUGCUUGCAUGUGUGUCAGAAGAGGACAUUGGAUCCCUUUUGCCAUGUAUGUGCUGUGAAUUAAACCCAUGUCCUCUGAAAGAGCAACUGGUGCUCUUAAUUGCUUGAUGCAUCUCUCUCAUACCCCCCAAACUGCAAUACUCUAAAAAUUAGUUUUACUCUCAUUGAUGGUACUAAUUAGCUUUAUUUCUGAACUGCUUUCUCUUGCGCUUUCCCAUAUGCCCAGAAACAUAAAACGAAAGUAAAGUGUUGUUGUUUUUUUAACAUUGUGGGUCAGAAUAAAAAUUAUUUUUAGUUAGUGAGGGUGACCCGAGCUAUACUUGGAGAAGACUCUUGUAUUUGUAUACAUAUGUUUAUGUGUAUCUGUUGUAUGUACUUGUGUGCAUGUAUGUGGAAACCAGAGAUCAGGUUUGGGUGUCUUUCUCCUCUGAUUUUGAUCCUCAUGGACUCUGGUGAGCAAAGUAUGUCUGCCAUGCUCGACUUGAUAUCCUUGGAGUAGAUACACAGGAGCCCAGUAGCUGGGCACAUGGUAGCUGUCUUUCAGAUGCCCUUGUGCUGUCUUUGCGGUAGCUGGACUCGUUAUGUGAGCAGUGUAUGGGGAUCCCUUUGUCCACAUCCGUACCAGCCUUUGUGUUUGUUCUGUGUUCUCCCCUUUAACUGAUUGAGAGUAGAUGUUUUUUUCCCCUUACAAAGUGUAAACUAUGUAAACUGAUUAUAGUUUCCUUUCCUUCUACUGCACCCAGCUCUUUCCCACCUGCCCUCCCAUCCAGAUCCACCCACUUUCCUCCUCUCAUUAGAAAACAGGCACCAGGAGAUUGUGGGGCACACCUUUAAUCCCAGCACUCAGGAGACAGAGGCAGGAGGAUCUCUGAGUUCAAGGCUAGCCUGGUCUACAGAGCACAUUCUAGGACAGCCAGAGUUACAAAGAGAAACACUAUUUC
rnacentral:lncRNA from 1 species